rnacentral:tRNA from 1 species
GCCCCUGUAGCUCAGUGGCUAGGGCGCCAGCCACAUACACCGGAGUUGGCGGGUUCGAAUCCAGCCAGGACCU